CGGCCGAAUUGGCAAGUCGGUUUCCAUUAUCAAAAGAAAUUUGACCCACAGGUGAACUACUUAGGAGGAAGUAAAGGUCCACGUCAGAACGGCCUACCUUACAACAUUCGGAAGAAAUAAAGGUCAACGCUCCAAUGAUAUGGGGAAUGUAAAGAAGAAAGUGUCUUAAUUUGUUAAGCUUUAGUAAGAAACAUAGCACAGACUCGAUUUUGU